rnacentral:rRNA from 1 species
UACGUAGGGGGCAAGCGUUAUCCGGAUUCACUGGGUGUAAAGGGUGCGUAGGUGGCAAUGUAAGUCAGAUGUGAAAUUUGGGGGCUCAACCUCCAAGCUGCAUCUGAAACUGCGUAGCUAGAGUGCAGGAGAGGAAAGCGGAAUUCCGAGUGUAGCGGUGAAAUGCGUAGAGAUUCGGAGGAACACCAGUAGCGAAGGCGGCUUUCUGGACUGUAACUGACACUGAGGCACGAAAGCGUGGGGAGCAAACAGG